UACGUAGGUGGCAAGCGUUGUCCGGAAUUAUUGGGCGUAAAGCGCGCGCAGGCGGUCCUUUAAGUCUGAUGUGAAAGCCCACGGCUCAACCGUGGAGGGUCAUUGGAAACUGGGGGACUUGAGUACAGAAGAGAAGAGUGGAAUUCCACGUGUAGCGGUGAAAUGCGUAGAGAUGUGGAGGAACACCAGUGGCGAAGGCGACUCUUUGGUCUGUAACUGACGCUGUGGCGCGAAAGCGUGGGGAGCAAACAGG
rnacentral:rRNA from 1 species